ACAUGCAAGUCGAACGGAAAGGCCCGCUUGCGGGUGCUCGAGUGGCGAACGGGUGAGUAACACGUGGGCAACCUGCCCGAGAGUUGGGGAUAGCCCGCCGAAAGGCGGAUUAAUACCGAAUGUGGCGAAGGAAGACAUCUUCUUGUAGCUAAAGCCGGGGCAACCUGGCGCUCUUGGAUGGGCCCGCGGCCUAUCAGCUAGUUGGUGAGGUAACGGCUCGCCAAGGCUAUGACGGGUAGCUGGUCUGAGAGGACGACCAGCCACACUGGAACUGAGACACGGUCCAGACACCUACGGGUGGCAGCAGUCGAGAAUUUUUCUCAAUGGGGGAAACCCUGAAGGAGCGACGCCGCGUGGAGGAUGAAGGUCUUCGGAUUGUAAACUCCUGUCAUUGGUGAACAAGGCCCUCGGUUAACUGCCGUUGGGUUUGAUAGUAGCCGAAGAGGAAGAGACGGCUAACUCUGUGCCAGCAGCCGCGGUAAUACAGAGGUCUCAAGCGUUGUUCGGAUUCAUUGGGCGUAAAGGGUGCGUAGGUGGCGAGGCAAGUCUGGUGUGAAAUCCCGGGGCUCAACCCCGGAACUGCACUGGAUACUGCCUUGCUUGAGCACUGGAGAGGGAACUGGAAUUUACGGUGUAGCAGUGAAAUGCGUAGAUAUCGUAAGGAAGACCAGUGGCGAAGGCGAGUUCCUGGACAGUUGCUGACACUGAGGCACGAAGGCUAGGGGAGCAAACGGGAUUAGAUACCCCGGUAGUCCUAGCAGUAAACGGUGCGCGUUUGGUGUAGGAGGAUUCGACCCCUUCUGUGCCGGAGCUAACGCGUUAAACGCGCCGCCUGGGGAGUACGGUCGCAAGAUUAAA
rnacentral:rRNA from 1 species